rnacentral:rRNA from 1 species
GAUUAACGCUGGCGGCGUGCAUAACACAUUCAAGUCGAACGGAACAGAGUGCUUCGGUACUUUGUUUAGUGGCGGACGGGUGAGUAACGCGUGAGCAAUCUACCUCCCAGUACGGAAUAACAACCGGAAACAGUUGCUAAUACCGUAUGAAAUGGCAGCAUCGCAUGGUGCAACCAUCAAAGAUUUAUCGCUGGGAGAUGAGCUUGCGUCCGAUUAGAUAGUUGGCGGGGUAACGGCCCACCAAGUCGACGAUCGGUAGCCGGACUGAGAGGUUGAAAGGCCCCAUUGGAACUGAGAUACGGUCCAGACUCCUACGGGAGGCAGCAGUGGGGAAUAUUGGGCAAUGGGCGAAAGCCUGACCCAGCGACGCCGCGUGAGGGAAGGAGAUCUUCGGAUUGUAAACCUCAGUCAACAGGGAAGAAGAAAGUGACGGUACCUGUGGAGGAAGCCACGGCUAACUACGUGCCAGCCGCCGCGGUAAAAC